AGGACGAACGCUGGCGGCGUGCUUAACACAUGCAAGUGGUGCGACGAACCAGGGCUUGCCCUGGGGCCAAGCCGCGAACGGGUGAGUAGCACGUGAGCAACCUGCCCCCUGGCUCUGGGAUAACCCUCGGAAACGGGGGCUAAUACCGGAUAUGACUUGGCCUCGCAUGGGGUUGGGUGGAAAGUUUUUCGGUCUGGGAUGGGCUCGCGGCCUAUCAGCUUGUUGGUGGGGUGAUGGCCUACCAAGGCGACGACGGGU
rnacentral:rRNA from 1 species